rnacentral:rRNA from 1 species
UGUGAACUCGAAGAGUAGGGCGGGACACGUGGUAUCCUGUCUGAAUAUGGGGGGACCAUCCUCCAAGGCUAAAUACUCCUGACUGACCGAUAGUGAACCAGUACCGUGAGGGAAAGGCGAAAAGAACCCCGGCGAGGGGAGUGAAAAAGAACCUGAAACCGUGUACGUACAAGCAGUGGGAGCACCUUCGGGUGUGACUGCGUACCUUUUGUAUAAUGGGUCAGCGACUUAUAUUCUGUAGCAAGGUUAACCGUAUAGGGGAGCCGCAGGGAAACCGAGUCUUAACUGGGCGUUAAGUUGCAGGGUAUAGACCCGAAACCCGGUGAUCUAGCCAUGGGCAGGUUGAAGGUUGGGUAACACUAACUGGAGGACCGAACCGACUAAUGUUGAAAAAUUAGCGGAUGACUUGUGGCUGGGGG